GGGGAAUAUUGGACAAUGGGCGAAAGCCUGAUCCAGCAAUGCCGCGUGAGUGAUGAAGGCCCUAGGGUUGUAAAGCUCUUUUACCCGGGAUGAUAAUGACAGUACCGGGAGAAUAAGCCCCGGCUAACUCCGUGCCAGCAGCCGCGGUAAUACGGAGGGGGCUAGCGUUGUUCGGAAUUACUGGGCGUAAAGCGCACGUAGGCGGCUUUGUAAGUCGGGGGUGAAAUGCUGCGGCUCAACCGCAGCGCUGCCUUCGAGACUGCACGGCUCGAGCACGGUAGAGGCCGAUGGAAUUCCCGGUGUAGCGGUGGAAUGCGUAGAGAUCGGGAAGAACACCAAUGGCGAAGGCAGUCGGCUGGGCCGUUGCUGACACUGAGGCGCGACAGCGUGGGGAGCAAA
rnacentral:rRNA from 1 species